rnacentral:ribozyme from 1 species
UGCCCAGUAAUUCCUAUCCCUACCUCCUCGUGAUACUAGCCGGGGUACGAGUAACCUGAGUGAAGAUCGCGUAACCAACCCCGGUGGGAACUGUGGUUUUAUGCUGACAGGGGAUG